rnacentral:SRP_RNA from 1 species
GCCGGGCGAGGUGGCGGGCGCCUGUAGUCCCAGCUACUCAGGAGGCUGAGGCAGGAGAAUCGCUUGAGCCCGGGAAGCAGAGGUUGCAGUGAGCUGAGAUUCGGCCACUGCACUCCAGCCUGGGUGACAGAGCGAGACUCCGUCUCAA